UACGGAGGGGGCUAGCGUUGUUCGGAAUUAUUGGGCGUAAAGGGCGCGUAGGCGGCCAUUCAAGUGACGGGUGAAAGCCCUCGGCUUAACCGAGGAACUGCCUGUCAGACUGGAUGGCUCGAGACCGGGAGAGGUGAGUGGAACUGCGAGUGUAGAGGUGAAAUUCGUAGAUAUUCGCAAGAACACCAGUGGCGAAGGCGGCUCACUGGCCCGAUACUGACGCUGAGGCACGAAAGCGUGGGGAGCAAACAGG
rnacentral:rRNA from 1 species